rnacentral:rRNA from 1 species
AGAAUCAACGCUGGCGGCGUGCCUAACACAUGCAAGUCGCACGAGAAAGGGGAGCAAUCCCUGAGUAAAGUGGCGCACGGGUGAGUAACACGUGAAUGAUCUACCUCCGAGUGGGGAAUAACUGAGAGAAAUCUUAGCUAAUACCGCAUAACACUUACGAGUCAAAGCAGCAAUGCGCUUGGAGAGGAGUUCGCGGCCGAUUAGUUAGUUGGCGGGGUAAUGGCCCACCAAGACUGUGAUCGGUA